CAUGGGAGGGGGAGGCAUUCACACUCUGUAAACAGGAAUAGGUGCAUCACCGGUCACUGAGCUGGCAAGCUAAAGUUAGCUAGUUAGUCAUAGAAAUGUAGGUUCAGCCUGUUAAUUAUAUCAGUCCGAUUUGACAUAUCUUACGAAGUCAGCAUGGCUUAACAGUUUCUUUCGUUUUUGACCUCGACAUUGUUGCUGGAUAGAUACUUUCAUAUCUAACAUGCUGGCCAGCUAACCUCAUAUCUGGAUGCAUCACUCUAGUUCCCGAUAGAGCAGCAUACUGGCCCUCCAUUCCCAAACUUGAAGCCCCCUGUCCCCAGCUGGAAAGACCAGGAAAAAGUGAUGGCUUAAGGUACAACUUCCUGUUGAGGAAAUAUCUGCCAACCUGCUCGGUGGGUGACAGGUAAUCGUCUUUCCACUAAGCUGUUCCAGGCCUGGAGUGGCACGUUGGAACUUCCAGAGGCUUGUAGACCUGAAGCGGUGUGAUGUGGUCCAGAUCUGACACAACUAUUAGCUCAACCACAGUCUUCACAGCUGCAGUCGUCUGCAUCUGAUACACCGGCCACGACAGGUGAUACAGAUCUACCAUGCCCAGCAGUUCAGCUGCAGUCACAGCAGUCCACUGCUGUAGUAUUUAAUUUACCGGCUGCACCAGUUCCUACUACACUGGCCGUGAAGUGAGAAACUUUUGAGGAUUCCCAGAUGGAUACAGAAGUACAUACACUGGGCCUUUCAAGACUGAUAAAGCAGAGAUGGGUGGCUGACAAGGAAUAAUAAAACAACAUACAUACACACACACACACACACACACACACACACACACACACACUCACACACUUUAUCCACAAUGUAAAUAAGUUGUAAUUGCUUGUUUAUUUAAUGUUUGCUCCAUUUUAUUUUAGGAUUGGAGAUAUCUACUCCUAUAUAUCCAUUAUCAAUGUCUGCGUAAUUACUCUAAAUAUAUAUCAAGUCAAGGUGUGAUUGAUAAUAUUAUAAAAGACUAUGUGUACAGUUUUAAUAAAUUCUGUGAACACACACACACACACACACACACACACACACUACACCCAAUGUAAAUAAAUUGUAAUAACUUGUUUAUUUUAUGUAUGCUCCAUUUUAUUUGAGGAAAAUAUCUUUAAUAAAGUACAUUCACAGUUAAA